AAGGUUCUAAUUCCACCUCUCCACCUGGUUCUCUGUCUGGUGUUAGUGUGCUCCAUCCUGCCCCGGUAAAGGUUCUAAUUCCACCUCUCCACCUGGUUCUCUGUCUGGUGUUAGUGUGCUCCAUCCUGCCCCAGUAAAGGUUCUAAUUCCACCUCUCCACCUGGUUCUCUGUCUGGUGUUAGUGUGCUCCAUCCUGCCCCAGUAAAGGUUCUAAUUCCACCUCUCCACCUGGUUCUCUGUCUGGUGUUAGUGUGCUCCAUCCUGCCCCAGUAAAGGUUCUAAUUCCACCUCUCCACCUGGUUCUCUGUCUGGAGUUAGUGUGCUCCAUCCUGCUCCAACAAAGGUUCUAAUUCCAUCUCUCCACCUGGUUCUGUCUGGUGUUAGUGUGCUCCAUCCUGCCCCGGCAAAGGUUCUAAUUCCAUCUCUCCACCUGGUUCUCUGUCUGGUGUUAGUGUGCUCCAUCCUGCCCCAGUAAAGGUUCUAAUUCCAUCUCUCCACCUGGUUCUCUGUCUGGUGUUAGUGUGCUCCAUCCUGCCCCAGUAAAGGUUCUAAUUCCAUCUCUCCACCUGGUUCUCUGUCUGGUGUUAGUGUGCUCCAUCCUGCCCCAGUAAAGGUUCUAAUUCCAUCUCUCCACCUGGUUCGCUGUCUGGUGUUAGUGUGCUCCAUCCUGCCCCGGUAAAGGUUCUAAUUCCAUCUCUCCACCUGGUUCUCUGUCUGGUGUUAGUGUGCUCCAUCCUGCCCCAGUAAAGGUUCUAAUUCCACCUCUCCACCUGGUUCUCUGUCUGGUGUUAGUGUGCUCCAUCCUGCCCCUGCAAAGGUUCUAAUUCCACCUCUCCACCUGGUUCUCUGUCUGGUGUUAGUGUGCUCCAUCCUGCCCCAGUAAAGGUUCUAAUUCCACCUCUCCACCUGGUUCUCUGUCUGGUGUUAGUGUGCUCCAUCCUGCCCCAGUAAAGGUUCUAAUUCCACCUCUCCACCUGGUUCUCUGUCUGGUGUUAGUGUGCUCCAUCCUCCCCCACAUCCACAAACAUGUAUUUUCACACUGAACUGAUCAAGAACUUUAAAAAUCUUUCAUCUACAUCUUCCAUCAUCCCAAUCACCCCAAUCUGUCUCAAUUCUAUAUACAUCAAUUGCCGUCAAAUCCACCCUCCCUGC